AUGUGCUUCAGCCUCCUGUGCUGUGUGACCUUUUUUUUCUGGGGAGCAGGCUCCAUGGACACUGGGGUCAUCCAGAGUCCAGGUCAUCUGGUCAAAGGAAAAGACCAGAAAGCCAAGAUGGAUUGUGUCCCCAUUAAAGGACAUGUUCAUGUUUACUGGUAUCGCAAGAAGCUGGAAGAGGNUAUGUUCAAACAGCGAUUUUCAGCUGAGUGCCCCAAAAACUCACCCUGCAGCCUGGAAAUCAAGUCCACCGAGGCAGCGGACUCAGCUCUGUAUUUCUGUGCCAGCAGCCAGUCCACAGUGCAGCACAUCAGCUCUUCCUAGAACACAAACUCACCAAGAACCCAGCUCAGGAAAUCAGCAGU